UAUCAAGCCAAAAGCAAUCACUAGAGAGAGUGUUCGUAGCCAUUCCAAUGAGGUUUACUACAGUCAAACCUUUAGGGAGUUGUCUUGGAGUGCUAAUGGUUCUGGCUUUUUGCAAGCAAGGAGUUGGUGGAAAAUAUCACUAUUGAAGAAUUCUAGAGAUUUUGGAACUAUUGCGGUAGGAAGGCAAGCAGGACAUUUGCAAAGGCUGCAAAGAGUCUAGGCUAACAAAGGUUUGCCACAUGGAUACAGGUAUGAUCAAACAAAUUUUCCUCUAAACUUAUCAUCCCGGAAUAAUUUAAGAGGAGAUUCA